UUCGCGCUGUUCCUGCCGGCUCUGCUGUGGUCUCCGCCACGCCCUGCGGCGGAGUCUCUUCGUUGUAGCGUGUUGCCUCAGCAACGGCAGGCUGCGUCAGCAGUGGGCGUGUAUCUCAGGGCGGGUUGCCUCGGCAACGGCUGGCUGCGUCAGCAGUGGGCGUGUAUCUCAGUUGGGGCAGGUUGCCUCCGUAGUGGUGGACGCCCCUCCCCCACAGAGCGUCUCGGACCGUCUGCCCGGGAUAGUUUGAAAUCGUGGUUUUGUUCGUCCCACUGGGUAUCCCAAGCGAUUUGUCCCUGCAAUCCCCUGGGCUGGGCUACUGUGCAAGUCUCGUUCAGUCUCAAGUCCAGCCCUCUCAAGUCUCAGGUUGCCGGUUCAACAAGGCACCCGGACAAGCGCGCCCUGUGGGGAUUGCUGGGUAGGGCCGGCCGCCGCCGCCCCGGCUGCCGGCUUCGCCAGGCAGACCUACUGCCUGGCGUCCCGUGUCUUUUUAUACUUGGGAGUUUCCCCGUUCUGUGGGCAACAAAGAUCAGUCUGGAAAUGCAGCACUGACUCACCGUUUGCGAAUUCAACGCGGGCUCCAAUCCUGGGUUGUUCUCACAGCGCCAUCUUGAGUCCCCUCCAUGAUUUUCAAUUUCACUUUUGUGAUAAUGUCCUUUGAAGCACAAAAGUCAUUUAUUUUGAUUAACCUAUUUAAAAUGUAUUUAAUUUUGAUUUAGCUAUUUUUAUUGUUAUCACUUGUACAUUUACUGUCACAUCUAAGAAACUGUUGCCUAAUCUAAGGUCAUAGAACUUUACCUCUGUUUCUUUCUAACAGUGUUUUAGUUUCAGCUCCUACAUUUAGGCUAUAAAGCAUGUUGGGUUAAUUUUUGCAUGUGGUGUGAGGUAGGGGAGUUUAACUUUAUUUUUUUGCUGUGGAUAUCCAGUUGUAUAAACAUUUGUCGAAAAGACUACCUUUCCCCCAUGAAUUGUCUUGACUCGCUGGCUGAAAAUUAUUGGACCAUAAACAUAAGAAUUUAUGUGUGAGCUUUUAAUUCUAUUCAAUUUAUCUAUAUGCUUUUCCCUUUGCCAAUACCACACUGUCUUAGUUACUAUAGUUUUGUGGUAGGUUUUGAAAUUAAAAAGUGAGUCCUCCAACUUCAUGCUUCUUUUUCAAGAUUGUUUUUCCUAUUGGAGGUCCUUGCAUUUCCAUGUGAAUUUGAGAAUCAGCAUGUUAAUUUCUGUGGGGAAGAGGCAUCUGAGAUUUUCAUAGGAAUUAUGUUGAAUUUGUAGUUUAUUUUGGGAAGUAUUUCUGUUUUAACAAUAUUAAGUUUUACAAUACAUGACCAUGGGAUGUCUUUUCACUUAUUUAGGUCUUCAUGUCUUCUUUAAUUUAUUUCAACUGUGUUUUCUGGAUCUCAGUAUACAAGUCCUCCAGUUCUUUUGUUAAGUUUAUUCCAUAGUGAGAGGUUUUAAUACAUUUUCUCAGUACCUGAUGGAACAGA
rnacentral:lncRNA from 1 species